GAUGAACGCUGGCGGCGUGCCUAAUACAUGCAAGUCGAGCGAACGGACGAGAAGCUUGCUUCUCUGAUGUUAGCGGCGGACGGGUGAGUAACACGUGGAUAACCUACCUAUAAGACUGGGAUAACUUCGGGAAACCGUAGCUAAUACCGGAUAAUAUUUUGAACCGCAUGGUUCAAAAGUGAAAGACGGUCUUGCUGUCACUUAUAGAUGGAUCCGCGCUGCAUUAGCUAGUUGGUAAGGUAACGGCUUACCAAGGCAACGAUGCAUAGCCGACCUGAGAGGGUAAUCGGCCACACUGGAACUGAGACACGGUCCAGACUCCUACGGGAGGCAGCAGUAGGGAAUCUUCCGCAAAGGGCGAAAGCCUGACGGAGCAACGCCGCGUGAGUGAUGAAGGUCUUCGGAUCGUAAAACUCUGUUAUUAGGGAAGAACAUAUGUGUAAGUAACUGUGCACAUCUUGACGGUACCUAAUCAGAAAGCCACGGCUAACUACGUG
rnacentral:rRNA from 1 species